rnacentral:rRNA from 1 species
AUUGAACGCUGGCGGCAGGCUUAACACAUGCAAGUCGAGCGGGGAAAAGUAGCUUGCUACUGGACCUAGCGGCGGACGGGUGAGUAAUGCUUAGGAAUCUGCCUAUUAGUGGGGGACAACAUCCCGAAAGGGAUGCUAAUACCGCAUACGUCCUACGGGAGAAAGCAGGGGACCUUCGGGCCUUGCGCUAAUAGAUGAGCCUAAGUCGGAUUAGCUAGUUGGUGGGGUAAAGGCCUACCAAGGCGACGAUCUGUAGCGGGUCUGAGAGGAUGAUCCGCCACACUGGGACUGAGACACGGCCCAGACUCCUACGGGAGGCAGCAGUGGGGAAUAUUGGACAAUGGGGGGAACCCUGAUCCAGCCAUGCCGCGUGUGUGAAGAAGGCCUUUUGGUUGUAAAGCACUUUAAGCGAGGAGGAGGCUACCGAGAUUAAUACUCUUGGAUAGUGGACGUUACUCGCAGAAUAAGCACCGGCUAACUCUGUGCCAGCCGCCGCUGUAAAAC